UACGGAGGGUGCGAGCGUUGUCCGGAAUCAUUGGGCGUAAAGGGUACGUAGGCGGUCUAGUAAGUUAGAAGUGAAAGGCAUUAGCUCAACUAAUGUAAGCUUUUAAAACUGCUAGACUUGAGAGAUUGAGGGGAAAGUGGAAUUCCUAGUGUAGCGGUGAAAUGCGCAGAUAUUAGGAGGAAUACCGGUGGCGAAGGCGACUUUCUGGCCAUUAUCUGACGCUGAGGUACGAAAGCGUGGGUAGCAAACAGG
rnacentral:rRNA from 1 species